rnacentral:rRNA from 1 species
CCUACGGGAGGCAGCAGUGGGGAAUAUUGGACAAUGGGCGAAAGCCUGAUCCAGCAAUGCCGCGUGAGUGAUGAAGGCCUUCGGGUCGUAAAGCUCUUUUACCAGGGAUGAUAAUGACAGUACCUGGAGAAUAAGCUCCGGCUAACUCCGUGCCAGCAGCCGCGGUAAUACGGAGGGAGCUAGCGUUGUUCGGAAUUACUGGGCGUAAAGAGUACGUAGGCGGUUAUUCAAGUCAGAGGUGAAAGCCCGGGGCUCAACCCCGGAACUGCCUUUGAAACUAGAUAACUAGAGUCUUGGAGAGGUUAGUGGAAUUCCGAGUGUAGAGGUGAAAUUCGUAGAUAUUCGGAAGAACACCAGUGGCGAAGGCGACUAACUGGACAAGUACUGACGCUGAGGUACGAAAGCGUGGGGAGCAAACAGGAUUAGAUACCCUGGUAGUCCACGCCGUAAACGAUGAUAACUAGUUGUUCGGUCAACUUGGUGUACGUGAGUGACGACGAGACUACGACAUUAAGUUAUUCCGUCCGUCGGGUAGGUACGGUCGCGAAGAAGUUAAACGUAACGAAAGAAGUAGUACGGACGNGUAAGUAGUAGUUCGACGACGACGACGAACGGAGGAGGNG